rnacentral:rRNA from 1 species
UGUGGGCGGUGCAAGUUUGAGAGGAGUCAACCUUAGUACGAGAGGAUUGGGUUGGACCAACCCCUGGUGAUCCAGUUGCACCUACAGGUGCAUAGCUGGGUAGCUACGUUGGGCAGGGAUAACCGCUGAAAGCAUCUAAGCGGGAAGCCCCCCUCAAGAUUAGACUUGCUUAUAGACCCCUGGUAGACCACCAGGUUGAUAGGCCGCGGGUGUAAGAGCAGAAAUGCUCUCAGCCGAGCGGUACUAACGGUCAAAGGCUUGAUCACUCC